rnacentral:tRNA from 1 species
AGGUAGCUUCUUACGACUAGUUUCGACCUGAUUUUUUAUUAGCUAAAUU